rnacentral:rRNA from 1 species
UGGGGAAUUUUGGACAAUGGGCGAAAGCCUGAUCCAGCAAUGCCGCGUGUGUGAAGAAGGCCUUCGGGUUGUAAAGCACUUUUGUCCGGAAAGAAAUCCUUGACUCUAAUACAGUCGGGGGAUGACGGUACCGGAAGAAUAAGCACCGGCUAACUACGUGCCAGCAGCCGCGGUAAUACGUAGGGUGCAAGCGUUAAUCGGAAUUACUGGGCGUAAAGCGUGCGCAGGCGGUUUGCUAAGACCGAUGUGAAAUCCCCGGGCUCAACCUGGGAACUGCAUUGGUGACUGGCAGGCUAGAGUAUGGCAGAGGGGGGUAGAAUUCCACGUGUAGCAGUGAAAUGCGUAGAGAUGUGGAGGAAUACCGAUGGCGAAGGCAGCCCCCUGGGCCAAUACUGACGCUCAUGCACGAAAGCGUGGGGAGCAAACAGGAUUAGAUACCCUGGUAGUCCACGCCCUAAACGAUGUCAACUAGUUGUUGGGGAUUCAUUUCCUUAGUAACGUAGCUAACGCGUGAAGUUGACCGCCUGGGGAGUACGGUCGCAAGAUUAAAACUCAAAUGAAUUGACGGGGU